AUUGAACGCUGGCGGCAUGCUUUACACAUGCAAGUCGAACGGUAACAGGUUAAGCUGACGAGUGGCGAACGGGUGAGUAAUGCAUCGGAACGUGCCCGAUCGUGGGGGAUAACACUUCGAAAGAAGUGCUAAUACCGCAUACGAUCUGAGGAUGAAAGCGGGGGACCGUAAGGCCUCGCGCGAUCGGAUCGGCCGAUGUCAGAUUAGGUAGUUGGUGGGGUAAAGGCUCACCAAGCCGACGAUCUGUAGCUGGUCUGAGAGGACGACCAGCCACACUGGGACUGGGAAACGGCCCAGACUCCUACGGGAGGCAGCAGUGGGGAACUUUGGACAAUGGGCGCAAGCCUGAUCCAGCAAUGCCGCGUGCAGGAAGAAGGCCUUCGGGUUGUAAACUGCUUUUGUACGGAGCGAAAAGGCUCCCUCUAAUACAGGGGGCUCAUAUCCCCGGCUAAUGACGGUACCUGAAGAAUAAGCACCGGCUAACUACGUGCCAGCCGCCGCGGUAA
rnacentral:rRNA from 1 species